GACGAACGCUGGCGGCGUGCUUAACACAUGCAAGUCGAACGGAAAGGCCCUGCUUUUGUGGGGUGCUCGAGUGGCGAACGGGUGAGUAACACGUGAGUAACCUGCCCUUGACUUUGGGAUAACUUCAGGAAACUGGGGCUAAUACCGGAUAGGAGCUCCUGCUGCAUGGUGGGGGUUGGAAAGUUUCGGCGGUUGGGGAUGGACUCGCGGCUUAUCAGCUUGUUGGUGGGGUAGUGGCUUACCAAGGCUUUGACGGGUAGCCGGCCUGAGAGGGUGACCGGCCACAUUGGGACUGAGAUACGGCCCAGAAUCCUACGGGAGGCAGCAGUGGGGAAUAGUGAAAAAGGGGAGGAAGCCUGAUGCAGCAACGCAGCGUGCGGGAUGACGGCCUUCGGGUUGUAAACCGCUUUCGCCUGUGACGAAGCGUGAGUGACGGUAAUGGGUAAAGAAGCACCGGCUAACUACGUG
rnacentral:rRNA from 1 species